rnacentral:rRNA from 1 species
UACGUAGGGUCCGAGCGUUGUCCGGAAUUAUUGGGCGUAAAGGGCUCGUAGGCGGUCUGUUGCGUCGGGAGUGAAAACUUACAGCUUAACUGUGAGCGUGCUUUCGAUACGGGCAGACUUGAGGCAUUCAGGGGAGAACGGAAUUCCGUGGUGUAGCGGUGAAAUGCGCAGAUAUCAGGAGGAACACCAGUGGCGAAGGCGGCUCACUGGCCCGGUACUGACGCUGACGGUGCGAAAGCGUGGGGAGCAAACAGG